rnacentral:rRNA from 1 species
CCUACGGGCGGCAGCAGUGGGGGAUAUUGCACAAUGGGGGAAACCCUGAUGCAGCGACGCCGCGUGCGUGAAGAAGCGCCUCGGCGCGUAAAGCCCUUUCAGCAGGGAAGAAAAUGACGGUACCUGAAGAAGAAGCCCCGGCUAACUACGUGCCAGCAGCCGCGGUAAUACGUAGGGGCAAGCGUUAUCCGGAUUUACUGGGUGUAAAGGGGGCGCAGACGGGGUUGCAAGCCAGGGGUGAAAGCCCGGGGCCCAACCCCGGGACUGCUCUUAGAACUGCGUGGCUAGAGUGCAGGAGGGGCAGGCGGAAUUCCUGGUGUAGCGGUGAAAUGCGUAGAUAUCAGGAGGAACACCGGUGGCGAAGGCGGCCUGCUGGACUGCAACUGACGUUGAGGCACGAAAGCGUGGGGAGCGAACAGGAUUAGAUACCCUUGUAGUC